UACGUAGGCAGCGAGCGUUGUUCGGAGUUACUGGGCGUAAAGGGUGUGUAGGCGGUUCUUUAAGUUUGGCGUGAAAUCUCCCGGCUCAACCGGGAGGGUGCGUCGAAUACUGAGGGACUAGAGUACGGGAGAGGAAAGUGGAAUUCCUGGUGUAGCGGUGAAAUGCGUAGAUAUCAGGAGGAACACCGGUGGUGUAGACGGCUUUCUGGACCGUAACUGACGCUGAGACACGAAAGCGUGGGGAGCAAACAGG
rnacentral:rRNA from 1 species